GGAGGGACUAUGGCUCAGUGGAAGAGCAUCUGCUUUGCAUACAGAAUGUCUCGGGUUCAAUCCCUGGCAUCUCCA
rnacentral:tRNA from 1 species